rnacentral:rRNA from 1 species
UACGGGGGGGGCAAGCGUUGUUCGGAAUUACUGGGCGUAAAGGGCUCGUAGGCGGCCAACUAAAUCAGACGUGAAAUCCCUCGGCUUAACCGGGGAACUGCGUCUGAUACUGGAUGGCUUGAAUCCGGGAGAGGGAUGCGGAAUUCCAGGUGUAGCGGUGAAAUGCGUAGAUAUCGGGAGGAACACCAGUGGCGAAGGCGACUACCUGGCCUGUUCUUGACGCUGAGGCGCGAAAGCUAGGGGAGCAAACGGG